AACCCUACAGCUGGACGUCAGCACCCCAGCCCCAGCCUUGAGACAAAUCCUCCCUCUACGCCUUGGUUUCCCCAACCGCAAGAGGAGGGGACAGCAUGAGGUGUUGGCACGCCAGUGAGAGAACAUGGGUGGCCGCAUUGUGACAGUGGCACAGUGUCACUGGGACAACCACUGUGAGGCCCCUGGCCGUGGUGCAUACAACACAAAGUCUCCGACAGCCGCCCCGAAACUUCUCCAAGCGGCCUGGGCACCACAACUGCAACACAGUCACUGGGACACCGAUUUCGUUCUUCUUGACUUUGAUUCCCAGACCGACUGUCUGAAUGAGGGCUCGGGGGAUUACUCAAAAGAAAGCUGCUGAAUCCAUGGUGAAGGAAAAGAGGAAUGACAGAAGAUAGGCUCCGCUUGGAGUCAAAUGCUCAGGAGCAAGACGACAUCAUGUCCGUCUCCAGUGACGCCUCACUUCAUCUCUUCCUCGUAGACACCUCUGCCUCCUGCCUCUGUCCCCUUUGUAGCUGACUCCGUGCGCUCCUCAAGGACAGGUCCUCUGACCACAAGCUGUUCAGCCUAAUGAGGGAGGCAGACCAGUAAACAGGCAGAUGCAACAAAGUGC